UUCAGUUUCGCCGCGCUCUCUGUUGUUGUUAUGUCGGUGUGCUGCCUUAAUACAAACGGUUAGACACGUUUCUAAGAGAAAAAUUUAGUUUUUGAAUCAGUUCAGUAAAAUACCUGUAAUAUUCUCAUCCUAACAAUCGUGACUGAGUUUUGAAGCGAGCAAGAAUAUCUGGAGGAGUUUAUCAUCUGAACUGAGAUCUGCUGCCAUGAAGAUGCAGUUUGUGAAAGAAGAGAGAGAAGAGAACACGAGUGAACCAGACACCAGCACAAUAAAACACGAGGAACCAGAAAUGCUGAGAAUAAAACACGAAGAUCCAGGAACCUGGAGAAUAAAACACGAGGAACCAGAAACCUGCAAAAUAAAACACGAGGAAAAAGAAUCCUUGAGAAUAAAACACGAGGAACCAGAAAUGCUGAGAAUAAAACACGAAGAUCCAGGAACCUGGAGAAUAAAACACGAGGAACCAGAAACCUGCAAAAUAAAACACGAGGAAAAAGAAUCCUUGAGAAUAAAACACGAGGAACAAGGAGAGUUCAUUGAAGAAAAAGAGGAAAAUGAAGAAUCAAGUCCUCAAGAGAAGCAGAACGCAUGUGAUCAGUGCGAUAAAAUGUUUUUAUGGGCUUCACUUCUGAAGAAACACUUGAAAGUUCAUGCAAAGAAGAAACCACAUUCAUGUCAUUUGUGUGGUAACAGUUUUUUGCAUGUACAAAGUUUGAAAGAACAUCUUCAGAUAAUACAUACUGGUGUAAGAGAGUACGUGUGCUCUGAGUGUGAGAAGACUUUUAGUUCAGCAAGCAGUUUAAAACAGCACGAGAGGAUUCACACUGGAGAGAAACCUUACAAGUGUUCACACUGUGACAAGAGAUUCAGUAAAUUAUCAACUCAGAAAAUACAUGAGAGGAUUCACACUGGAGAGAAACCUUAUAAGUGUUUACACUGUGACAAGAGAUUCAGUAAAUUAUCAACUCAGAAAAGACAUGAGAGGAUUCACACUGGAGAGAAACCUUACAAGUGUUCACACUGUGACAAGAGAUUCAGUCAAUCAUCAACUCUGAAAACACAUGAGAGGAUCCACACUGGAGAGAAACCUUAUAAGUGUUCACACUGUGACAAGAGAUUCAGUCGGUUACCACAUCUGAAAACACAUGAGAGGAUCCACACUGGAGAGAAACCUUACAAGUGUUCACACUGUGACAAGAGAUUCAGUGUGUUAUCAAGUCUGGAAACACAUGAGAGGAUCCACACUGGAGAGAAACCUUAUAAGUGUUCACACUGUGACAAGAGAUUCGGUGAUUCAUCAAGUCUAAAAAAACAUGAGAGGAUCCACACUGGAGAGAAACCUUAUAAGUGUUUAAUCUGUGACAGGAAAUUCAGUGUGUUAUCAAGUCUGAAAACACAUGAGAGGAUUCACACUGGAGAGAAACCUUACAAGUGUUCACACUGUGACAAGAGAUUCAGUCAGUUAUCAAGUCUCAAUACACAUGAGAGGAUCCACACUAGAGAGAAACCUUACAAGUGUUCACACUGUGACAGGAGAUUCAGUAAAUCAUCAAGUCUCGAAACACAUGAGAGGAUCCACACUGGAGAGAAACCUUACAAGUGUUCACACUGUGACAAGAGAUUCCGUCGUUUAGCAAAUUUCAAAACACAUGAGAGAUUUCACACUGGAUAGAAAGCACAUCACCGCAAUGUACGUGGGAAGCGUACAUUGGCCCGUACAUGCGGAGAUGCAUUUAGAUGUUUAUGUAAAUAUUUUGUUAGGUAUAUGUGUUUCGUCCAGACGGAUCCAGCAUUUUGGGAGAAUGAAUUCACUAUUUCUUUGGGUCCCAGAGUGGAUAAAUCUGAAAAUGACACCUUUGGGUCUUUGUGUUCUGCCAAUCCAUAUAUUUUGUGAAACGAUGUCAUCACCCCACUUCUCUACUAUUGUCAGACACCGCUACGUCAUGUAACACCAACAACAAUGGAGAACUACAUCUUUGUGUUCAUGCUGCAGAAGCUACUGAGCCUAUUAGCUUGAUUAAACUUACUAGUAGAGCUGCACGAUAUUGGAAGACAACUCGCAUCGUGAUAAUUUGUCUUUGCGAUGUAUAUUGCGUUAUGGAAAAAAAAUCACCAGAUGACUUGAACUGCUCUAUUUGGGGGAAAAAAAUAAUGAUUGGGGUGAUUUUGUAGGUGAAUAAAUCAGCUAAGAAAAUAGGCAAAUUACAAACAUAGAUAAAUAUAACAGAUAAAUGAUACAAAUUAAAUCAAAAAAUGCUUUGUAUUCUUCAGGUAAGACCAACUGUUACUGUCUGUUACAGUUAAGUCUAAUACAUUACUGCUGCGUAACAUUGCUGACAGAAUGCAGUGUUUAUAAUCUAGAGAUCGUAAAGAGGAUGUAGCACACACACUGCCAAGUCAAGUGCCAGUGGAUUACAGACUUGCACCCGCGAGACCUGAUGCAACAGAGAGCGGCGUGGGACAAGACUCGUGUGUGUGUGUGUGUGUGUGUGUGUGUGCAGGAUGCAGGAAAAUAAAAAAAAGAAUAAUCUAAACAUAAAAAAUCUAAAACAAAUUAUUUAUCUAUUGCACAAAAGCAAAAUAAACUAUUAAACAUAAACAAUUAACAGGUGCAAGCGUAUGCAGAGCUUCUAUUUAGGCUUUAACAAGGAUUAGUUUGUUGCAUGAUGAGACUGAUGCGAGAUACUGAUCCAAAAGCACAAGUUUUGUUAAAAAGUUUAAUUUCUUUCUUUAAUAUAGGCUAAGUGAGUUUUUCAUUAUUGUUGCUGUUUCCAUUUAAAAUAAAUAAAAACAUUGAACCACAAA